rnacentral:rRNA from 1 species
UACGAAGGGGGCUAGCGUUGUUCGGAAUUACUGGGCGUAAAGCGCACGUAGGCGGCUUUGUAAGUUAGAGGUGAAAGCCCAGGGCUUAACCCUGGAAUUGCCUUUAAGACUGCAUCGCUAGAAUUGUGGAGAGGUAAGUGGAAUUCCGAGUGUAGAGGUGAAAUUCGUAGAUAUUCGGAAGAACACCAGUGGCGAAGGCGGCUCACUGGCCCGUUACCGACGCUCAGGCGCGACAGCGUGGGGAGCAAACAGG